GGUAGGCUUGUAACAACACAAGUUUUGACAACAUCUCUCUUAACAACACCGAGCUCCCUUCCCCGAGUAAAUUUGGGGAGGAUACCUUUGUCCGUCUUAAAGAUUUACUCCAAAGAGCGAGCUAGCUCACAGUCUUUGAAUGAAUAACAGAUCCAAAUAUCUUUAUAAGAUCCAAUAGCAUUUCCAAAGGAACAAUAGCAUUGCUGCAAAUUUGAGGCGAUGUAGCAGAUUAACUUCAGAAUGAAAUGGACCAGCUAUUAUAUUAUUGUAAGCUAAAUGUAUAAAUGUAAAAUCAUAGUUAGUUGCAAAAGUAAGUUAAAUGUUCACACAGAGGAUAGCCAAUGUCACCCAUGGCACAAAAACACAAUAUAACGGAAACAAAAUGUUAGAAUAAAACGCUAAUGCAAGAUCAUAGACGACACACCGAGGCACGAUAUUUGUUAACGAGGUUCACCGAUAUGGCUACAUCCCCGAGGCAUGACUAUGGGCGCUCCUCCCCAAGAUACCGCAACACCGGCCGCCCGGGCGCCGGCACAAGUCGCCGGCUUCCCCGCGUACCUAUUGCUAUCCGAUCGUCAUGGGUUACAACGUGUGGUGCCCCUCGAUAUAUAAGAGGCCUAGGAUACAACGUGUCCGACUCCUACACGACUCAUACCUAUCCACACCGAUUACAACUCCAANNN
rnacentral:lncRNA from 1 species